GCGGCCCCCAGCUGCGCCUCGUGCACCUGGACCUCAAGGGCGCUGCGCCCCGGGUGUCCUACCUGGAGCAGCUCUUCCCGCUGCUCUCCCAGCUGGGCGCCAGCGGCAUCCUGGUGGAGUACGAGGACAUGUUCCCGUUCCAGGGGGAGCUGGAGACGCUCCGGUCCCCGUACGCCUACAGCGAGGAGGACGUGGAGCGGAUCCAGCAGCUGGCCGAGCUCAACCAGCUGGAGGUGGUGCCGCUGGUGCAGACCUUCGGGCACGCGGAGUUCAUCCUCAAGCACGAGAAGUACCAGCACCUGCGGGAGGUCGAGCGCUUCCCCAACAGCUUCAACCCGCACGC